GGCCCUUACGUNGNNGGGCUACACACGUGCUACAAUGGCGAUUACAGUGGGCAGCAAUCCCGCGAGNGUGAGCUAAUCUCCAAAAGUUGUCUCAGUUCGGAUUGCUCUCUGCAACUCGAGAGCAUGAAGGCGGAAUCGCUAGUAAUCGCGGAUCAGCAUGCCGCGGUGAAUACGUUCUCGGGCCUUGUACACACCGCCCGUCACACCAUGGGAGUUGGA
rnacentral:rRNA from 1 species